UUUUAUUUUUUAAAAAUGCCGGAUACUUCAUUCCCGUAUCGGGCGCGUAUCGGUAUCCGAUACGGGUACGGCAUGAAAUUUGAAGUAUCUGUGCUUCAUAGCUAGUAAAUCAACAAGGGUUUCAUUUAUGUGGCAUCUUUUUGUCAAAGAUCAGAAGAACUUUGGCUCCUUUUUCAGGGCGUCAAAAAGUUUUGUAUAUAUUAUGGUGAAACAAAAAAUGACUGUAAUAUCCAAGAGCUUGCUUAACUCUGCAAACUUUUGCCUCUUUGAUUGUUUCUGUAGAAUUGCUCUUCUACUGUUGCUACUUAAAUACACUGGUUUUUCUUAAGUAAUUGGCUGUGAUACCUUGUACUUAACGAAUGUUUAUAUUUCUCACAUGUUUAUUGUGAUUAUCCCUCUAACUUUUGUUUUGAUUAUUUAGGUAUUGUCAGAGAUAUUCCUUGCACCAAUGACAGUGUCUUGGAAGAAAUGAAGAAGAAUUACAUGCUCGAGCAAGAAAGCAAGGCAGGGAAUAAGAGCUAAGAUGAAUAUUCUUGCAUUUUAUUCACCCUCAUACUGCUAAUAUUUUGAUCGGAAUUCUUAUGCGCCUGGCCUUGGAACGAAGUGAUCACUUAUUAACUUGUUCAAUUGAAUCGAUACUUCUAACUUCAAUUUUGUCUUUUGCUCCAUGGAAGAGACACUUACUGUUCCUUUUGUUUGGAUCUUAGGGAAAAAGUUUCGCUGGCUUAAAGCUGGUAGAGUAAAUCUAUUUUACGCCACAAUUUAUGACGUCUUCUAGAAGUAAUUUGAUGGUUGUACCAUAUUCUUAAAUGCUUGUAUGUUAGGAAUGACGGUAAGAGAGAGAGAGAGCUAGUCACUCCUCUAGAACAUUCCAAUUUGCAAUAAAUAUUCAGAGGCUAUGUAGAGAUACAAUUGAUGUUUAAUGUGUCGUAUAUGAAUCUCGACUCGGCAAAUUCUGCUGAUUUCAAUGACAAUAGCAACAAAAGUUGAAGCGAAAUUGAUUAA